GAGGGUAUAGCUCAGUGGUAGAGUGCAUGCCUAGCAUGCCAAAGGUCCUGGGUUUAAUCUCCAGUACCUCCA
rnacentral:tRNA from 1 species